rnacentral:lncRNA from 1 species
UUCUUUGUCGCUCCACUAUUGAGCUGCCAAAUUGGCCAACUCGACCUCCAGCAGAGAGAUCUGCUCUCUACUCUUUCUUUUUCUCUCCUCAAUAGCUUGGAGGAGCUCGUCGGCAACUUCGACCCAUGCAUGAGCAAUCUGGGCCUGGUCCUCCAACUUGUGGUUGAUCUGGGCAGACUUGAUCAACCCUUCUGACAGUAUUGUAAUGUCGU